rnacentral:rRNA from 1 species
CCGCAGAUCGCACGGUCUCGCACCGGCGACGCAUCUUUCAAGUGUCUGCCUUAUCAACUUUCGAUGGUAGUUUACGUGCCUACCAUGGUUGUAACGGGUAACGGAGAAUAAGGGUUCGACUCCGGAGAGGGAGCCUGAGAAACGGCUACCACAUCCAAGGAAGGCAGCAGGCGCGCAAAUUACCCACUCUCGGCACGAGGAGGUAGUGACGAAAAAUAACGAGACGGAUCUCUUUGAGGCCCGUUAUCGGAAUGAGAACAAUUCAAAUCCUUUAACGAGGAUCUAGCGGAGGGCAAGUCUGGUGCCAGCAGCCGCGGUAAUUCCAGCUCCGCAGGUGUAUAUCUAUGCUGCUGCGGUUAAAAAGCUCGUAGUUGGAUCUGCGUGCUCGGAACCGGU